GACGUAGGGUGCAAGCGUUGUCCGGAAUUAUUGGGCGUAAAGAGUUCGUAGGCGGUUACUUAAGUCUGGUGUUAAAGACGGGAGCUCAACUCCCGCAUGGCAUUGGAAACUGGGUGGCUAGAGUGCGGUAGAGGUCUCGGGAAUUCCAGGUGUAGCGGUGAAAUGCGUAGAUAUCUGGAGGAACACCGGUGGCGAAAGCGCGAGACUGGGCCGUAACUGACGCUGAGGAACGAAAGCCAGGGGAGCAAAAGGG
rnacentral:rRNA from 1 species